rnacentral:rRNA from 1 species
GACGAACGCUGGCGGCGUGCUUAACACAUGCAAGUCGAACGGAAAGGCCCUGCUUUUGUGGGGUGCUCGAGUUGCGAACGGGUGAGUAACACGUGAGUAACCUGCCCCUGACUUUGGGAUAACUUCAGGAAACUGGGGCUAAUACCGGAUAGGAGCUCCUGCUGCAUGGUGGGGGUUGGAAAGUUUCGGCGGUUGGGGAUGGACUCGCGUCGUAUCAGCUAGUUGGAAGGGUAGUGGCUUACCAAGGCGUUGACCGGUAGCCGGUCUGAGAGGAGGACGAGCCAGAGGGGGAGUGAGACACGGCGGAGACUCCUACGGGAGGCAGCAGUGGGGAAUAUUGGACAAUGGGCGAAAGCCGGAUCCAGCAAUGCCGCGUGAGUGAUGAAGGCUUUAGGGUUGUAAAGCUCUUUUACACGGGAUGAUAAUGACAGUACCGGGAGAAUAAGCUCCGGCUAACUCCGUG